rnacentral:rRNA from 1 species
UACGAAGGGGGCUAGCGUUGUUCGGAUUUACUGGGCGUAAAGCGCACGUAGGCGGGCCGUUAAGUCAGGGGUGAAAUCCCGGAGCUCAACUCCGGAACUGCCUUUGAUACUGGCGGCCUCGAGGCCGGAAGAGGUGAGUGGAAUUCCCAGUGUAGAGGUGAAAUUCGUAGAUAUUGGGAAGAACACCAGUGGCGAAGGCGGCUCACUGGUCCGGUACUGACGCUGAGGUGCGAAAGCGUGGGGAUCAAACAGG